rnacentral:tRNA from 2 species
GGGCACAUAGCUCAGCCGGUAGAGUAGCUGCUUGACGUGCAGUUGGUCGGGGGUUCAAAUCCCUCUGUGCCCA